UACGAAGGGGGCUAGCGUUGCUCGGAAUCACUGGGCGUAAAGCGCACGUAGGCGGAUUCUUAAGCCAGGGGUGAAAUCCUGGAGCUCAACUCCAGAACUGCCUUUGAUACUGGGAGUCUCGAGUCCGGGAGAGGUGAGUGGAACUGCGAGUGUAGAGGUGAAAUUCGUAGAUAUUCGCAAAGAACACCAGUGGCGGAAGGCG
rnacentral:rRNA from 1 species